rnacentral:piRNA from 1 species
UAAGCUUUUUCUCUUUGCCCUUCUCAUCCA